CAGUCGCCGCGGUAAUACAGAGGGUGCGAGCGUUAAUCGGAUUUACUGGGCGUAAAGCGUGCGUAGGCGGCUUUUUAAGUCGGAUGUGAAAUCCCUGAGCUUAACUUAGGAAUUGCAUUCGAUACUGGGAAGCUAGAGUAUGGGAGAGGAUGGUAGAAUUCCAGGUGUAGCGGUGAAAUGCGUAGAGAUCUGGAGGAAUACCGAUGGCGAAGGCAGCCAUCUGGCCUAAUACUGACGCUGAGGUACGAAAGCAUGGGGAGCAAACAGGAUUAGAGACUCCAGUAGUCCCUGUCUCUUAUAC
rnacentral:rRNA from 1 species